AACGAACGCUGGCGGCAUGCCUAACACAUGCAAGUCGAACGAGAUCUUCGGGUCUAGUGGCGCACGGGUGCGUAACGCGUGGGAAUCUGCCCUUUGGUUCGGAAUAACAGUUGGAAACGACUGCUAAUACCGGAUGAUGACGAAAGUCCAAAGAUUUAUCGCCAGAGGAUGAGCCCGCGUAGGAUUAGCUAGUUGGUGUGGUAAAGGCGCACCAAGGCGACGAUCCUUAGCUGGUCUGAGAGGAUGAUCAGCCACACUGGGACUGAGACACGGCCCAGACUCCUACGGGAGGCAGCAGUGGGGAAUAUUGGACAAUGGGCGAAAGCCUGAUCCAGCAAUGCCGCGUGAGUGAAGAAGGCCUUAGGGUUGUAAAGCUCUUUUACCCGGGAUGAUAAUGACGGUACCGGGAGAAUAAGCUCCGGCUAACUCCGUGCCAGCAGCCGCCGUAA
rnacentral:rRNA from 1 species